UAUCUCUUUUUACACCAUCUCUCAUCAAGUUCCUAUCAAGAAAUCACAAACAAAUAUCAUGUCCCAAAAUCAAGAAAGAAAUCAAAGUAGGAAGAAGCUCAUAUUCAAUCAUCGAAGAAAAGAUGGUGACUUGACGAUCUUUCCGGCGGAGUUUUGGCGAGCGGGGUAUAGGGCUCGAAAGCCCUCUGUAUAAGCUUCGUUUUGGUGGAAGUUUCCGGCUUGUUUCUCCGGUGGUGAUAGUUGUGAUCCGACGGCGAAGUUCAGCUGAUCCUAAAACCUUUCGGAUUUAAUUAGAGGUCUUGAGAUCGAGGAACCGUGAUCGACGAGUACUCUUGAUUGGACCAAGACGCAGGUGCAGGCUCGAAUGAAUCAGGGGAAUUCCAGUCUGAGUAACUACUUUGUAUAUAUUUGUAAAUUAGUGAAUUGAAUUAAGUUCCCAAUAAUCGCUGUCUUAUAUUAUAUAUAUCAGCGUUUGAACUUAUUUAUGUUAUAGUAUUGUAAUCUCAUAAGCUAGGAGCUGUUGUUAUAAUUAUUCGGAACCUUUGUACUUUACCUUGCUAGAAGUGAGGUUGUUAAUAAAUAAAUCGUACGUAUUUUUAUGAA